UACGUAGGGUGCGAGCGUUGUCCGGAAUUACUGGGCGUAAAGAGCUCGUAGGUGGUUUGUCGCGUUGUUCGUGAAAACUCACAGCUCAACUGUGGGCGUGCGGGCGAUACGGGCAGACUAGAGUACUGCAGGGGAGACUGGAAUUCCUGGUGUAGCGGUGAAAUGCGCAGAUAUCAGGAGGAACACCGGUGGCGAAGGCGGGUCUCUGGGCAGUUACUGACGCUGAGGAGCGAAAGCGUGGGGAGCGAACAGG
rnacentral:rRNA from 1 species